CCCUUAGAUGUCCUGGGCCGCACGCGCGCUACACUGACAUGUUCAACAAGCCUCCUAGUUCGACAGGAUUUGGGAAAUCUUUGAACGCAUGUCGUGAUAGGGAUAGAUCAUUGCAAUUAUUGAUCUUGAACGAGGAAUUCCUAGUAAACGCGAGUCAUCAGCUCGCAUUGAUUACGUCCCUGCCCUUUGUACACACCGCCCGUCGCACCUACCGAUUGAAUGUUUCGGUGAAGAUUCCGGAUAGGACUUUUUUGAUUUAUUUCAAUUUUGUCUUAAAAGCUAGCUAAACCUCAACAUUUAGAGGAAGGUGAAGUCGUAACA
rnacentral:rRNA from 1 species